UUUUAGCGGCGGACGGGUGAGUAACACGUGAGGAACCUGCCUUUCAGAGUGGGAUAACGUUUGGAAACGAACGCUAAUACCGCAUAAUGUAUUAGAAUGGCAUCAUUUUAAUACCAAAGGAGUAAUCCGCUGAAAGAUGGCCUCGCGUCUGAUUAGCUAGUUGGUGAGGUAAUGGCUCACCAAGGCAACGAUCAGUAGCCGGACUGAGAGGUUGAACGGCCACAUUGGGACUGAGACACGGCCCAGACUCC
rnacentral:rRNA from 1 species